UACGUAGGGGGCAAGCGUUGUCCGGAUUUAUUGGGCGUAAAGAGCGUGUAGGCGGCCUGACAGGUCUGCUGUGAAAACUCGAGGCUCAACCUCGAGAUGCCGGCGGAAACCGUCUGGCUAGAGUCCGGAAGAGGAGAGUGGAAUUCCUGGUGUAGCGGUGAAAUGCGCAGAUAUCAGGAAGAACACCUAUGGCGAAGGCAGCUCUCUGGGACGGUACUGACGCUGAGACGCGAAAGCGUGGGGAGCGAACAGG
rnacentral:rRNA from 1 species